GGAACUGCACCCUGUCUGUGUGUGUGUGUGUGUGUGUGUGUUAAAAAGCGAUGUCACAAUGAAGUCGCUAUGUCUUGCUUCCUAUUUUCUGUGUGCAUCUGUACAAUAAAAGACACAGCUUUUGGGCUGCAGAGUCAGAGA